UAAUGGUGAGGUGAGGCAAGGGUUACUGAAAAAUAACAGAGCUAAGAGAGGAAUUUACUCAGAUGAGCCUCAGUGAUGCAGGUGGACUCAUAAAGGAAACAGAGAAGUUCAGGUGAGGACACACCUUUCUCAGAGACGCAAACAUGAAGAAAUCAAUCAAACUUAAAACGGCACCAGGAGAAGAUAAAAAAGAUGUUGAGAGUGGG